rnacentral:tRNA from 1 species
CUAAGUGUGGCCGAGCGGUAAGGCACUUGUUUUGGGAACAAGACUACGAAGGUUCAAAUCCUUCCACUUAGACCA